GGUUGGAUGGCUAGACAGGAAUGGCUAGCUUGGGACUUGAACACCGCCUACUGCCUCAGGAGUAAAUUGUUCCUGGAGAGGAAGGAAGCCAGUGGACAGGGGAACGCUGUGCGGAGACCAGCACUCUCGAUAUCCAUGACAUAUCAAGCCCGGAGUGUGCCAGGCGCCUGUUGUUGCAAUGAACACCAGAAUCAACCGUUAGCCAGAAUCCUGCCUGUAGCCGGAAUCCAUGACCCUGAGCUCGGAGGCCAUCUCUCUGAAGAGGACGAGGCUGGGCAUGAUGAAGUUCCCUGGGCCUCAUCCAUAAAAAGCUCCAGCACGAUUCACCCUCUUUCUGUUGAAAACUAGGGAAGCAGAGUGCAGGAAGGAAGAACCAAGCUAAAACAGCUCCUCCUUGCCUCUCUGGAUUUUCUUCCAAAAUGCUGUCAGCAUUGCCAGUUGGAAAAUAUUCUUCUCCCUCCCUUUGUCUUCUUUCUUAUUAAAAAAAAAAAAAAAAAAGCCAUCUGGUGUCAAAUUCACUCCUGGCACAUCAUAAAGGGUAGCACUAAAAAUGUCCCUGAAAAACUAAAAGCAAAACCACAGCCUUACAACAUGAAUUUAAUCGCAGCAUCCCAUAAUUUCAGAGUUGCUAGGAGCCCGGAGAUCAAACCCUUCCGGUACAUAGGAGGAAACUGAGGUGGAGAGCCAUUAGAUCAUUCAAAACGGUUUAUUGUGCACCUACUAUGUUCAAAACCACCCCGCGUGCUUGAGAUAGACGGUUAGUUUGAAGCCAC
rnacentral:lncRNA from 1 species